UCAUUUUUAACUCUGUAAAAGCCCCUUUUCCUGCAGUCAGGGACUGUGAGUUUUAAUAAUUACUUACCAUUCUAUCUCCCUGCAGUAUAUGUUUUGCACCCUUGCAUGAUUGCACAACAGACAAAGGGUGGAUGCCCCCGGAUAGAGAUCAUUUAGAUGCCCACCUGGCUGCACCCUUCAUGGGACACAGGUGCAACUUAGCUAAGGAGGGUGUGAGGCUUGCUGUUACAUUUUAAAUCGGCACAGAACUGCAGAUGAGUGUCCAAUCAGCCACUGAGACCAGUGCUUCCUAGUCUUGGUGCACGGACAGAGCAGUCUAUUGCAUAUGCUGUUCAUUUCACUCACACAUUCAUUCAUUCAGCAGGCACUCAGAGGUUAAACAUUCCAACCUCCUUCCCUUGAGGGUGCCCUUAACUAGCAAGAGUUAAUCAAGCUCUUUUUGUGCUUGAAUUGAGGACUGACAGACUGACUAACAUGGGUGCCCCUAGGAGUCUUACUGGAAUCAGGCAGGCAGGCAGACAGAUUGUGUCUUCCUCCCUUCAGGGUUCUCUGUAAGCUGCUCCAGCAGGGAGCUAGGAAUCCUCCUCCAAGACCGCUGAAGGCACUGGAGAAAACUUGAUAGCUCACCUUCCCAUUGAGAACUGGAGAGAUCCUUGUUUUAUCCUCCAGGGCCAUGUCCAGUGACCAAAGAGAUCAGCAUGGUCGGCCUUCUCAGCCGAUGCAUCAGGUACAACAGCAAGCAGAAACAUUGCAACACCACCAGGAUUUGGAGGUAGUUUUAUUUACAUCAAUGGGCACUGGUCAGGAUCAUUCCCAAAAUAUCAGGCCCUGAUCUCUAGUGGUCUAGGGCUUGUAUGGGAUAAACAAGAAGGAAGUACAGAGGCAGAAUGGCUUGUGGACUGGGGAUUAAUUCUUAUCAUGUGUAUCAUAGUGACGAACUGUGUUUCAGAGUGACCAGCUGUUUCUAAGAGAUCAGAAGCGAUUGGGACUGGAACAGAAACUGUUACCUGUGCAACUAAGAAACUGAAGUAUACUGGCUGAUGACAGGGGCGUUCUGUUACAUUAAGAUUGCUUUCUCUAGUUCUGUGAAGAAUUCUCUUGGUAUUCUGAUUGGGGUUGCAUUAAAUCUGUAAUUAAUGCAGCACAGGUUAAGUUCCAGGUCCUUAUUUAUCUUGUCACCCUGUUUGGCAAACUUUACACAGAAAUCCUGGGCCCUUGGGAUACCAGACCUCAAAGCUACUGAGGGUGACUUCUCUUUCCAGGACCCAACUGCAUCUGCAGCUUUUAGCAGGUUGCUCACUUCCUACCUUCCCCAAAACUCCUUGUGAGAGUAAAGACUGGAUGCAGCUGCUCACAGCCAUCGGCGACCUCCUGUCCCUGCGUCCUCACUCCUUUCUCCUUUGAAGCUGAGACCAUCACUACCAAUCAUCUUCCUGUUCCUGUCCUUUCCUCUUCUGCCACGCUGCCUCUUCUGACCUCCUUGUUCUCUGGUCCUCGUGCCAGGGGCAUUCCCACCCCCAUCACCACAGGUCUGUCUCCCACUCAGAGGCAACACCCGGUGCCCCCAGGGCUCCCUGAGCUUGAGCUGUGCAGGGCCUCACACCUUGCCCUUCUACUCUUCCUGUCUUUUGAGCCCACCUGGCCUCACUUCCCUUUCUCAGGUGCAAUGGCGGUUUGAAGCCUUUGGCAAACUUCUACCACUCAGAAUGACUGUGCCAUUCCAGUCACCUGGGCACUCUGGGACUCCCCGGGGUCUCCUGUGCAGCCGAGAUGGGGCCACUCAGUGAGUCGAGCCACAUUGCUCUGCCACUUUCUCUCAGGCACCUUCCUUCCCAUGCUCCUGCCACUGAGCCCAGAGGCCCAACCUGGAGCAACCCUGCUGCAGCUGUCCUGCAGGAAGGGGCCUCCCAGCGUGAGCACUGAGUGAAGAUGAACACUGCACUAGGGUACGGUACAGUGGGACUUAGCAGGGGCCACAGACCUAGUGUGUGCUGAGGGAAGUUUGGGGGGUGACUUGAAUCAAGUGUGAAAUUUAAAUUCUCACGGGAGUCAGGUUCUGGGGAAUGAGUCUGGCUAGCAGGUUGAUUCCUGGUCCAGUCCUGUGGUUGGAGGAGGCUUCAAGCAUGAGUGUCUGCCAAGAAGCUACCAGAAUGAGGCAGUCAGGCAGAGACAGGUCGACCGGCAAUGAGCCCGAUUAAUGGCCCAAGAGGUUGCUUUCUUCCCAACCAGAGACUGGGAAACCAGAGGAUGCUAAGGGUUUGUUUUUACGGUAGUGGGGAUUGAACCCAGGGCCAUCCCCAUAUGUCCCCAGCUCCCCCCGCCCUUUUUUUCUUUUUGAAACAGCGUCUCACUAUCUGGUUCAAGUUGGUCUUAAAUUCACUAUGUAACCCAGUUGGCCUUGAACUCCAUCUCAUGGCCAUCCUCCUGCCUCAGCCUCCUGAAUGCUGGGAUUACAAACAUGAGCCUCCAUGCCUGGCUAAUCCCUCCCCAUUGCUUUUUUUUUUUUUUUUUUUUUUUUUUUGGUACUGGGAAUCAAACUCAGGUAGGCGCUGUGCCACUGAGCUAAAUCCCCAUCUGCUAAUCUCCUGUUUUGAGGCAGGAUCUCCAAUUAAAUUACUGAAUUGCUGGGGAUAAGCUCAUGACCCUCCUGCCUCAACAUCCCAGAGUGGAAAUUGUUUAGCUUUUGAAAGGCUCAGGGUUGCUGUGGUUGUGGAAAAUAAAUGGAGCAAAACAAAGCAUAAGAAGCUGAGAGAUGCUGCCCUUCAGCCAGGUGAGCGUAUUCCUUGCCAGUAAACACGUCCUCUCUCCUGAAAGGACCAUAUUGUGUCUGUAGAUUUCAUGGCUUUGGUAUUUACCUCCUGGGGCCUCAGAAAUCCUCAGAAUUACAGGAUGCCAGAACAACACAUUGGCGGACUGCUAGCUAGACAAAGCGAUGAUAUAGGGGUAAUAUCUGCAGGGAUGUGGGGGAAGGUCAAAAAAGCUAAAAAUCAUGCUGAGAAAAGCAAUGGCAGGAAAAAGAAAAAUCUAAAGGUGUGGAAAAGAAACCCUAAUUCUGUUGGUCUGUCUUCAUCUGGAAAGGAGGGCAGACUCUUCCCGGAAAGCUCUCAAGCCCUUGGGUUGAGCUGAAGUGCAAAUAUACUCGCUGAGCCGGGAUGCAUGAGCAAGGGGUGAGCCUGGGCAGGAUCGAGAAGAAAACCAACUCUGGACUCCUCCCUGCCACUGUGUGUGCACUUCAGGAGCUGAGCUGAUGUGAAGACGGGCGGGAGCAACCUCACCUCAGGGACUAGUGGACACUGCAGAAUAUGGUUCUCCGUAUGCGGGGUCUCCAAAAGAGCUGGACCUGAACUCACCAUGUAGCCCAGCUGACCUCAGACUCUUGGCAGUCCUCUUGCAUCAGCCUCCCAAGUGCUGGGAUUGCAGGUAUUUUGUCUCAGCAAUGAGAGAAAAAUAACCAAGACAAAUGGCUUCUUUUCAAUUCAACUGAAAAGUUGGCAAAGCAGUAAACAACGGCAAACUGACCUUUCCAAGAUUGAGAAUUCAGACACUGUAAAACAAUUUGGGGAAGAAAAAGAGGAUGAUGUAUCUCUGGGAUGCAGGAAGGAUCUGAAGGGAAAAUUGGAGCCCACAGAGAAAAUGAAAAGACUGACCCACCGCAGAAAAGAGGAGGAGGCAAUCUGUACUUUUUACCUGGCUCUCAGCUUGUGUCUGGAGAGAAGAGGAUCAAAUCCGCAGGGACACAGUGAGGGUGGUGAUUCCAGGGAGGAACCCACCAGUGGAACAGAGCAGUGGAUGCUGUGAGCUACAGCGGCAGGCGAGUGACUCCAGGCCAAGAGACUGCUGUAUCCCCUGAAGAGGACAGGUACCAUGUGAGGAAGAGGCCAGCUGGACCUGGAGCUCAGAGCAGCCAGGGGUUAGCUUCAUCUCAGGGCACCCAGUGUUGAAAUCCCAUAAUGACUGAGUGAAGAGACAACUUCAGGAGAUGUCCAGGGUCAGGGAGUGAAGGCCAGGCUUGCUAAGGACACCCAGAGAAUUGUCGGCUGACUGACUCAGGCCCCAGUACCACAACCAGACACCAUGAUUAGCCAAACUUCUGUGGGUCUGAAAGUACCAAAACUGGCACCCUGCCCUAACUCUGUGGCAGGCUUGCUGGGUCAUCCAGCACAGAUCUUGACUCUGCUACCAGAGACAGCACAGCUGUGCUCUGAGUGAGACAAGCCAUGAUAGGCUUGAAAUCACAGAGAAAUUCUUUCUUUGUCUCUGCUGUUGGUUUUGGUGAGUUUUUUGAUUGUUCGUUUUUGUUUUUUGUGAGUGUGAACAUUUAGAUUUCUUCUUGUUUCAUUUUUUCCUUUUCUUCCCCUCCUGUCUUCAGUUUCCCAAGGCUUGAGUAAUCCUCCUUUGUCCUUCAGCUUUGCUUUUAAUCUUUAUUUUUCUUUUUUUAAAAUUUUAUUUAAAGACUAAACAAAACAGAAAAUAGAAAUAAUACAUACUUUCAGAGAAGAAAAACAUAAACAGUAAGAAAUCACUAGUUGAUGUUUACAUAUUGUCGUUUUACAAAUAGUUGUUCAAGAUACAAAAGUGGAACAUGUAAAGUGGGAAUUCAAACAGUGAGAGCUCAAACAGUUCUGUUCAACUGUCCAACAAAAACUUAGUAACA